GAUGAACGCUGGCGGCGUGCCUAAUACAUGCAAGUCGAGCGAACGGACGAGAAGCUUGCUUCUCUGAUGUUAGCGGCGGACGGGUGAGUAACACGUGGAUAACCUACCUAUAAUUCUGGGAUAACUUCGGGAAACCGUAGCUAAUACCGGAUAAUAUUUUGAACCGCAUGGUUCAAAAGUGAAAGACGGUCUUGCUGUCACUUAUAGAUGGAUCCGCGCUGCAUUAGCUAGUUGUUAAGGUAACGGCUUACCAAGGCAACGAUGCAUAGCCGACCUGAGAGGGUGAUCGGCCACACUGGAACUGAGACACGGUCCAGACUCCUACGGGAGGCAGCAGUAGGGAAUCUUCCGCAAUGGGCGAAAGCCUGACGGAGCAACGCCGCGUGAGUGAUGAAGGUCGUCGGAUCGUAAAACUCUGUUAUUAGGGAAGAACAUAUGUGUAAGUAACUGUGCACAUCUUGACGGUACCUAAUCAGAAAGCCACGGCUAACUACGUG
rnacentral:rRNA from 1 species